rnacentral:rRNA from 1 species
CCGAAUUCGUCCACACAGAGUUUGAUCCUGGCUCAGGACGAACGCUGGCGGCGUGCUUAACACAUGCAAGUCGAACGGUGAACUCCGCUUGCGGGGGGAUCAGUGGCGAACGGGCGAGUAACACGUGGGCAACCUGCCCUCAGCUCUGGGAUAACUCCAAGAAAUUGGGGCUAAUACCGGAUAUUUCCGCCGACCGCAUGGUCUGGUGGUGGAAAGAUUUAUCGGCUGGGGAUGGGCCCGCGGCCUAUCAGCUUGUUGGUGGGGUAGUGGCCUACCAAGGCGACGACGGGUAGCCGGCCUGAGAGGGUGACCGGCCACACUGGGACUGAGACACGGCCCAGACUCCUACGGGAGGCAGCAGUGGGGAAUAUUGCGCAAUGGGCGAAAGCCUGACGCAGCGACGCCGCGUGGGGGAUGACGGCCUUCGGGUUGUAAACCUCUUUCAGCAGGGACGAAGCGAAAGUGACGGUACCUGCAGAAGAAGCACCGGCCAACUACGUGCCAGCAACCGCGGUAAUACGUAAGGUGCAAGCGUUGUCCGGAAUUAUUGGGCGUAAAGAGCUCGUAAGCGGUUCGUCACGUCCGCUGUGAAAUCCCGAGGUUCAACCUCGGGUCUGCAGUCGAUACGGGCGGACUUGAGUACUGCAGGGGAGACUGGAAUUCCUGGUGUAGCGGUGAAAUGCGCAGAUAUCAGGAGGAACACCGGUGGCGAAGGCGGGUCUCUGGGCAGUAACUGACGCUGAGGAGCGAAAGCGUGGGGAGCGAACAGGAUUAGAUACCCUGGUAGUCAACGCCCUAAACGGUGGGGCGGUUAGGGGUGGGGCUCAUUCCCACGAGUUCCCGGGCCCCAACUAACACAUUUAGCCCCCCCGCCGGGGGAGUACGGGCCGGCAAGGGUUAAAACCCCAAGAAAUUGACCGGGGGCCCGGCCACAGGCGGGGGGAAACUGGUUGCUUAUAUUUCGAUGGGACCGGGGAAAAAAACUUUACCCUAGGCUUUGACAUGGCCC